rnacentral:misc_RNA from 1 species
UUUUAGACUGUAUUGAUCUCUAUGCGAAGAAAAGCUCUAUAAAAAGAUAUAGAGAACAAAAUUCAAACAUGAAAUAGUUAGAUUUAUUUAUAUAUUAAAGAAUAUAUUUUGUGGCUAAAAAUCAUAUUUCAAGCUUUAAGGUAGAUUUUAUGGGUAAGUUGAGUAUUAUAAGUAUUUCACAUUCGAAUUCUUUAUUAUUUUUUUUCCAUGAAUACUACAUGAAUGCUAGUUCACCGGUUGGUGUUUCCUCAUUUUAUUGAUCAUUGGAACUGUUUUGAGUUGAUACUUUAAACCAACUUUAAUUCGCAUGCGAGAAAUAUUCGUGAGGACCUUAUUUCUUACCACAAACCAGUCAUCAUCAAAACUCUCUGGUAUCUUGUUUCCCAUAUACUGUGGUUUCAUUAAUAUUCGUUGAAUACCAAUUUUCGUGGAUUUCGAUGUUAAGUUGAUCCAUUAAAUUAAAUGUUCAUUGAAACGCAAUUUCUAUUAACAUUUUGUAUUGAAAGGGUCAUUGGUCAUGAAUUUACGUAUCCUUGAAACUGAUUUUCAGUUUAUCCACGAAAAUUGAUACCCUUGAAUAUUAAUGAAACCACAAUAAUCUGCAUCUUGAUCGCGAAAAUAUAAAUUGCCAAGAACCAGUUUAUUUCCAGUAUGUAUUGCGAAAUAAAAUCGUCGCGAAAAAAAGUUGGUUUACAGUAUGUUUAUUGUUUUUGGUAGAAAUGAUCUCAACUUUAUACAUCUUUUAUCAACGACUUUAUUCUGUUGCCUUGUUGAUUUGUGAAAUAAAAAGUUAAAUCAUUU